UGUAACCAGGGUGAUACAACAUAUUUUAGUUUUGAUGAAAUAUCACCAAAUUCUGAUUAAUAAGAAACAAAUAUAUGUUUAAGCUAUGUUCAAGGUACCUUUUGUAACCUGUUCCAACCCCUAUGUCAAUGUGUUUUCAAUACCUGUACUGUCGCUUUAAGAAAAGUUUGUGUCUUAGUGACGUGUAUGCAGCGCCAAGCUCAGAAUGCCGUUGGCUGUCUGAGUGGAGGCGGGAAUGUGGUCCUGGCUAUGACGGUUUACAUGACGGUUUACAUGCAAUGACAUGAUUUUCUUUGGCUCAUCCAGAUACCAAUAAAUGAGAAACCCUCCAUUGUUGUCCAGCCGUCCUUCCACCCUUCCAACGCAUUCGCCAGAACACAACGCAGAUCGACACCCGUU
ensembl:lncRNA